GGUAGGGUAGCUUAGUUUAAGCGGUGGAUUGUAGUCCCAUAGACAGAGGUUAGAUCCCUCUCUCUACCA
rnacentral:tRNA from 1 species